GCGCAGAUCACUGAAGAAGCAACAUGUAAGCUGCCCCCGCUGGAAAAGAAUUCCUUUCACUCACUGGACGAGUCCUCAGUGAGCUCCUACAUACUGUGGGGGCAGAUGCUAGUCACCUCAGAGAGCUCACCAGCCUGAACAAAGACAAAGGGCAAAUGACCAAGCCACCUCAGCGUGGUCACACCAUGCAAACCUGAAGCCAUGCAGUUUGAAUAAAGUACAAAGUGUGAACUCUAA